rnacentral:rRNA from 1 species
CGCGUAGGAAUCUACCUGGUAGUGGGGGACAACUCGGGGAAACUCGAGCUAAUACCGCAUACGCCCUUUGGGGGAAAGCGGGGGAUCUUCGGACCUCGCGCUAUCAGAUGAGCCUGCGUCGGAUUAGCUUGUUGGUGAGGUAAAGGCUCACCAAGGCGACGAUCCGUAGCUGGUCUGAGAGGAUGAUCAGCCACACUGGAACUGAGACACAGUCCAGACUCCUACGGGAGGCAGCAGUGGGGAAUAUUGCGCAAUGGGCGAAAGCCUGACGCAGCCAUGCCGCGUGUGUGAAGAAGGCCU